rnacentral:rRNA from 1 species
GACGAACGCUGGCGGCGUGCUUAACACAUGCAAGUCGAACGGAAAGGCCCUGCUUUUGUGGGGUGCUCGAGUGGCGAACGGGUGAGUAACACGUGAGUAACCUGCCCUUGACUUUGGGAUAACUUCAGGAAACUGGGGCUAAUAUCGGAUAGGAGCUCCUGCUGCAUGGUGGGGGUUGGAAAGUUUCGGCGGUUGGGGAUGGACUCGCGGCUUAUCAGCUUGUUGGUGGGGUAGUGGCUUACCAAGGCUUUGACGGGUAGCCGGCCUGAGAGGGUGACCGGCCACAUUGGGACUGCGAUACGGACCAGACUCGUACGUGAGGCAGCGGUGGGGAAUAUUGCACAAUGGGCGGAAGCCUGAUGCAGCAACGCCGCGUGCGGGAUGACGGCCUUCGGGUUGUAAACCGCUUUCGCCUGUGACGAAGCCUGAGUGACGGUAAUGGGUAAAGAAGCACCGGCUAACUACGUG